rnacentral:piRNA from 1 species
UAAAGAAUGAGCUGGCUCCUCUUCUCAACC